rnacentral:lncRNA from 1 species
UUCAAAACUAUUUUUCGAGCCUUUGGCUUGAGUCUUGCUCCACCUGCAUUAAAUACAACUUUGGCUUCGAGGCCAAAAUGAAUGAAUAAAUAAAUGACUAAAUGAAUAAAUAAAAAGAAGACAAUAAUAAAAAUUGAGACUUUUCAAGUCUUUUAGUGACCUCAUCAAUGGAUUUUGACCCAUUUUCCUUCUUUGUCUAUCUUCUAGCACCCGCACGCCAUGUAGUGGACCUUAGGUUUAAACUUCGAACUUGACUCAAAGGGGUGAGCCUCAUUUACCCUUUAUGAAAUGUAAGAGGAGAGGAGGUGGAUCGCAGGGCCUCCUCUGGAUCAUCACCAAUUUUAAAACUAUUAGUAAUUGCCCUUUCAUCUACCACAACGGGCGAUAGGUUAUGAGUGGAGUGGAGGUUCGAUUUUGCAAAUCCUCCCCAGGCGCAAUUUGCUUUAUCCCGCAUGACUCUGGGAGAUCUUUUGGUAUAUCAUUGCAUCCUUCAAACAAAUCUCCUAUCCCAUCCCCAAGACCAUCAUCAUAUGAUAUCUCUCGUACGGGAAAUGAUUGGAACAGGAGUGGCAAGGGCCUAAACAGACUCUUUUCUGGCUCAUCCUUAACCCUAUCUCUUCUAGUAGGCUGAUACCCUAACCCAUGCUUAGAGCUUCUCUCUAGAAUCACAAUAGGCUUGAUAAUUCUUUGUAAAUUCUUGCCCAAGCCUCGACUAGGUUCAAACCCAUUUCUUAACAUCACAGUUGCAAUCAUUUUGUAGACAGACGGCAUUGAUAUUUUGGGUGUCGAAUCUCUUUCCGUAGCGUUUACAAUUUCCACUGUAUAGAAACUGAUACAUUUUGGAACAUCUUCAAUCACCGGCAUAUAACCAUUGGGAUGGUCCGCUCGACUUCCUUCUCCUUGGAUGACUACUUCAUGAUCUUUCCAAAUGAACUUAAAUAAUUGAUGAAGGGGUGAUGAAAUUGCCUUCUCCUCGUGUAUCCAUGGUCUUCCCAAAAGCAGGUUGUAGCUAGGAUGGAUAUCUAUAACAUGAAACUCAGUCAUAAACUCAGCAGGCCCCAUUUGGAUAUGCAAAUCAAUCUCCCCUAUGGUAUCUCUAUGCCCUCCAUCAAAUGCUCUCACAUUUACGUGGCUUUAAGGAAUUUUCCCUAGAUCAUAGCCCAUUUGGACCAGCGUGGAGAGGGGAUAAAUAUUUACACCAGAUCCAUCGUCUAUUAAUACCUGAUUAAUUGUAUAAUCUCGACAAAUGAAGGUGACAUUCAUGGCUUUGUUAUGCAUUGCUCGUUCAAACGGCAACUCUUCGUCACUAAAUGAUAUGCGAUGGUUCCCUACAACGUUCCCUAUCAUCGCAGCCAAAUUCUCAACGCUCGUUCCUGCAGGAACAUACGUUUUCUCCAAGACCUUUGACAGAGCCUGUCGGUGGUGUUGCCAGCUCAAUAAUAGUGCCAAGACAAAGAUUUAUGCUGGCAUUUUCUCCAAGUGUUUGAUAAUUAAGUAAUUCUUUGGUUGCGUACGCCUCCAAAAUUCCUCAGCCUCUCCUUCAGUAAUUGGUCUUUUCUCUGAAUCUUUCUUGUUAGUCGAUUCCUCAUGGAUGUAACAUCGUCCUAAUCGCGUCAUCCCCUGGGCAGCGGCGGUUUACACAAUAAAUUCCUUCUUUGGAGGGGGAGCGUACACUUGAGUCGGUGCAAUCAUCACUAUAAAUGGGUCUUUCUCACUAAUACUUAAGGCAGCUACAGCUUUCUCUAUCUUUCCUACCUCUUCCGCCCUUUUGUAUUUUUCGGAGUUCACCUGAGUAAUGGUCUUGCCAGAUGCUCAUUCGCCUUUUAUUUUGAUCAUGUUGACUGUAGAUCCCCCAUGGUUGGGCAGUGGAUUACUGCUAACAUUUGGAGUCGGUUCCUGGAGCGUGAUAACCUUUUGAUCAAUUAGAUCUUAGAUUCUGUGUUUCAAGAUAAGACAAUCCCCGGUACUAUGCCCUGCUACCCCUGAAUGAUAGGCACAAUUUUGAUCAGGGUGAUAAAACCAAGAGCUAGGAUUGACAGUCUUUGGCUGUAUUGGUUGUAAAUGACCAGCAUUCUUCAAUCUUUCAAACAAUUGGGUGCGACUUUCAGCUAGUGGGGUGAAGUUUUGGGGAGGUUUAUUUUUGUGGUUUGGACGCUAGGGGUUAUACGGGCUUAGAUUUGUAGGAGGGGGUACUUGGUGGUAAUUUGGAGGUGUUUGGAAAUUGUUCGGCUAUUUGGGGGAAUAAUUUGGAAAUAAGAUUGAUAAUUUGGAGGUGGAACUGGGUAUUAGGAAAAGAUAUUUGGCUGUGGAGGUUGGUAUGAUGGUGGGAUGUUUGGGAGUGGAGUUUGGUAUUGGGGGUGAACGUACAAUGUGUACAGAAGGUUAGGUGAUGGCGGGGAAGAUAAAACGUAUCUAGAAUUGAACCGUUGUUUCAAUUUUGUAAUAGAAUUGGCAGAAACCCCACCUACCCAUUCCUUCUUCUUCUUAGAAAACAUGGGAGUUCCAGAUGAUGUCGGGGUUUUGGCAAUUUUUCCUGUCCGAAUACCAUACUCUAAUGACUCUCCUAUUUUUACCAAAUCUGCAAAGGUCGCUCUGACAGCGGACACCGUCCUGGUAUAAUAUUCUCCUUUUUUAGCGCGAGAGAACACGGAUACCAUUUCCUCCUCGGAUAUGGGGGCUGCACUUUGGCAUCUUCUUUUCUCCAACGAAAAGCAUAAUCUCGAAAACUCUCAAUGCUCUUUUGUUUAAUCUGAUCUAGUAAAUACCGAUCAGGGACUAUUUCAAUGUUGAAUGCGAACGGAUCAAGGAAACUCUUGGCUAAUGUCCUCCAACCAGCCCACCUUUUCAGCUCCUAAGACAUGAACCACUCCAAGGCUUCACCAUUCAAACUUCGAUUGAAUAGGCGCAUUAAUAAUGCCUCGUUUUUCCCUAUCCCUACUAGUUGCUCACAGUACCUUCUUAGAUGGGCCAUUGGAUUUCUGGUACCGUCAAAUAUCUCAAACUUAGGGACCUUGUAUCCUUCUGGUAGAUCUACUCCUGGGUGAACACACAAAUCGUCAUACCCCAAACCGUCGUGGUCCUUGGCCCCGUGAGACUCUUUGAUCCUCAUGAUCUCUUCUUGCAUGGCUAGUAAAUUCCUUUCAUGUUGGGCCCUUCAUUCCUUCUCCUUCUCCUUAUAAUGGUCCAUCUAAGGGUUAGGAAGGGGUUCAUAAAUAUUAGGGGAUAUGAUGGCUUGAGGGGAAUUUGGAAAGAAGGCUUGAUUUUAUAGAUGGAGGGAAUUUGGUUGGUAAAUAGAGAGAAUAUUUUGGAAAUUGAGAAGGUUAUGUGGGCCUUGUAAGUAGUUUGGCAAAAUAUGAGAAGGGUUUUACGGAUUUGGAAAUAAAUUUGGUGGAUUCAAAGGUAAGUUUGCCGUAUUUUGUGGAUUUGGGAGUAAAUCUUGCGGAUUUGGGAAUGCAUUUUGUUGACUUGAGAAUGUGUUUUAAGGAUUUAGGAAUGGAUUCGAAAACAGGUUCUGUAGGGUUGCGGAUGGAUUUUGUGGAUGGUAGGCGUCUGGAUUAUUUUCACAAUUAGUGUUUUGGACAAAUAGAGGAGCGGAGCUAGAUGAUAUGUUAGUUGGUUGGUCCCCGGAGUACUGAGGGGAGGGAUUUGGAGUGGAGUCCCAUGUCCUCUUGGAGUGGGAGCAUUGACGAUGAUGGCCAAGUUAGCCAAAUACCGAGUGUGAUUUAUUUCUUCCUGAAGCAUUUCUAACUUUCUUGCAAGUUCCGUAAUCAUUUCAUUCUGUUCUGCUAUCACAUUAUCCCGGAUAGUCAGUGCGCUUUCUUCACCAUUUCCUGUCAUUUUUGAAAGAUGGUCAGAGGAUGGAAUUUUAUGCGCUUUUGAUCAGGUGAAGUAGGGAUGUUCUUCCAACUUAUAUCAACACGGAGUAAUUUCUAUUAUCUGUAAAGUAAACCAACUCGAAGGCAGAGGUGUUAGUUUUCGUAUACGAUAAAUAAUGCAAAAUAUUUGACAGGAAAUAACCACAUAGAGUUAUUUGAGUCAUAGCCAAAUUCAUCCAUGGGACAUAGUUGAUAAACUUGCCUCUGAUUCAAACAUAUGCACAUAUGCACAUGAAACAAUUAUAUUACAAAAAAAAUAUUCUAAUAACGCGUAUCCUAGCUGGGGUGACCCUUUUGAACCAAGGGUUCAGGCAUAACAAUUUUUGAAGAAAAUAUAUGAUUCCUCAAAUUCAAUCCAUAAGUCUCCAACUUAUAUAGACACGAAAAGGGCAUAAAUGCUUACAAAUGAUAACAAAAUAGGGAUACAAUCUUUAGGGAAAGGGAAAUAACAUGAAAAAAGACACGUUCCCACACAGGGAAUAGAAAAUACUAAUUCCCGAGUGCUUCUUCUAUCAACCUUUGCCUUUUUAGCUUCGUCCACUUCUUUAUUGAUGACAUCCGUUGACGUUCAAACUGUUCCUUAGAUGCAACCUCCCAAAUCGUUCAAAACUAUUUUUCGAGCCUUUGGCUUGAGUCUUGCUCCACCUGCAUUAAAUACAACUUUGGCUUCGAGGCCAAAAUGAAUGAAUAAAUAAAUGACUAAAUGAAUAAAUAAAAAGAAGACAAUAAUAAAAAUUGAGACUUUUCAAGUCUUUUAGUGACCUCAUCAAUUGGUUUUGACCCAUUUUCCUUCUUUGUCUAUCUUCUAGCACCCGCACGCNN